rnacentral:rRNA from 1 species
UACGUAGGGGGCUAGCGUUGUCCGGAAUCAUUGGGCGUAAAGCGCGCGUAGGCUGCCAGAUAAGUCCGGUGUGAAAGUCAAAGGCUCAACCUUUGAAUGCCGCUGGAAACUGUCUGGCUAGAGUCCGGAAGGGGCGAGUGGAACUCCUGGUGUAGCGGUGAAAUGCGCAGAUAUCAGGAAGAACACCAAUGGCGAAGGCAGCUCGCUAGGACGGUACUGACGCUGAGGCGCGAAAGCGUGGGGAGCGAACAGG